GUCGAGGCGGGGGCGGGGCAUGGCGGAGGCGGGGCAUGGACCGGGGGCCGAAGCGGAGCCGUCGCCUUGGGGUCGCGGGGUCUCCAAGGCACCGCCCCACAUCCGCGGACACUGGCUGGACCACCCCCUACCGCCCAGCCGUGGGGACUGCGCUGUCCCCAGGCCUACCGGGCCCACAAGUGGGUGCAAUGUUGACAUUUGGGAAAGCUGGUUGGAGGCGAUACGGAGACCGUGUGCUGUUCUUGAAACCCUUUCUACGUCUGGAGUUAACGUCAAAAUAGAGGAAAAUGGUCAAUAGACUCCCGAAAAUUAGAGACCUGAUUUCAGGUGUAGAGAUUUAUUGGCAACUGGGGGCAAAAGCCACACCCCGACGCUGAGUGUCCUGCUGCUCAUGAAUCUAAAGCCGAUGCAGGCGGGUCAGGUCCAAGGAUCCAGAGGGGGUCCUGCGGGACCAGGCACGAGUGUCCCCGACCCUCUGCAGGAUAGAAAUUGAAUGUGAGCCAGCAGGAGCUCUAAAAAGGCCUUGCACGGGGGCACCUGGGUGGCUCAGGUUUGUG